UCGAAGAACAAAAAGUCCAUCUUGCAGCCUUCAUUUUAAACGGUGAAGCUGAAAAUUGAUGGUGACUUAAGAAAGAAGUCCUGUCUACCCCUAUUACCUAGGAAGUUUUCAUGGAUGCUUUCUUAAUAAUUUCUUCUUUGUUUAUGUUCGGGAAAAGAAAGAGGAGGAAUUUUAAGACCUCUGUAAAAGAAGCUUGUCUGUAG
rnacentral:lncRNA from 1 species